GGGAUGCCUUUACCCAUGCCAAGUCGAACGGCAGCACGGGUGCUUGCACCUGGGUGGCGAGUGGCGAACGGGUGAGUAAUACAUCGGAACAUGUCCUGUAGUGGGGGAUAGCCCGGCGAAAGCCGGAUUAAUACCGCAUACGAUCUACGGAAGAAAGCGGGGGACCUUCGGGCCUCGCGCUAUAGGGUUGGCCGAUGGCUGAUUAGCUAGUUGGUGGGGUAAAGGCCUACCAAGGCGACGAUCAGUAGCUGGUCUGAGAGGACGACCAGCCACACUGGGACUGAGACACGGCCCAGACUCCUACGGGAGGCAGCAGUGGGGAAUUUUGGACAAUGGGCGAAAGCCUGAUCCAGCAAUGCCGCGUGUGUGAAGAAGGCCUUCGGGUUGUAAAGCACUUUUGUCCGGAAAGAAAUCCUGAGGGCUAAUAUCCUUCGGGGAUGACGGUACCGGAAGAAUAACCACCGGCUAACUACGUGCCAGCAGCCGCGGUAAUACGUAGGGUGCGAGCGUUAAUCGGAAUUACUGGGCGUAAAGCGUGCGCGGGCGGUUUGCUAAGACCGAUGUGAACUCGCCGG
rnacentral:rRNA from 1 species